rnacentral:rRNA from 1 species
AUUGAACGCUGGCGGCAUGCUUUACACAUGCAAGUCGAACGGUAACAGGCCGCAAGGUGCUGACGAGUGGCGAACGGGUGAGUAGUGUAUCGGAACGUGCCCAGUCGUGGGGGAUAACGCAGCGAAAGCUGCGCUAAUACCGCAUACGAUCUAUGGAUGAAAGCGGGGGACCGUAAGGCCUCGCGCGAUUGGAGCGGCCGAUAUCAGAUUAGGUAGUUGGUGGGGUAAAGGCUCACCAAGCCAACGAUCUGUAGCUGGUCUGAGAGGACGACCAGCCACACUGGGACUGAGACACGGCCCAGACUCCUACGGGAGGCAGCAGUGGGGAAUUUUGGACAAUGGGCGCAAGCCUGAUCCAGCGAUGCCGCGUGCAGGAAGAAGGCCUUCGGGUUGUAAACUGCUUUUGUACGGAACGAAACGGUCUGGGUUAAUACCUCGGGCUAAUGACGGUACCGUAAGAAUAAGCACCGGCUAACUACGUGCCAGCAGCCGCAGUAAGAC